rnacentral:lncRNA from 1 species
GAGGGAUGCUCACCGGCGAGCGACGAUGCGGUGGAAGCAGGAGGACGCCGGGCGCAGGAUGGGGAUCGGCGCAAGCAAGCGGCGGGCGAGGAGACGAAACUGGAGGCCGGAUGCGGCGGUGUCGGUGAGCGAAUGCGGCGGGAGCAGGAGAACGCCGGCGCUACCUCUGCUCUGCUAGCAGGGCGAGGAGACGGGACGGAUAAGGAAGGGAGGCGGAGGUCACAAGGGGCUUUUUCGCAAAAAAACAUCCACUACCGCAUAGCCGCUCGCUCUCCCUCUCCCUCUCCCUCUCCCGCGCCGUCGCCUCCGCUUUCCCCUCGCGCCGUGCCCGUCGCCGAGCGCCGCCGCCGCCUCCCCAUCGCGCAGCCUCGUCUGCCUGGCACCGUCCCCAUCGCCGGCCGCCUCCGCCUCCGACUCCCCCUCGCGCCUCCGUCUCCCCCCUCGCGUCGUCGCCGUCGCCGUCGCCAAGCGCAGCAGUCUCUGCCUCCGCCACCGCCACCGCCGCGCGUCUUCGCUGUGUCCUUCGUCGCCAUCGCCAACGGUCGAAGAAAUGGCGAUGGCCACAGAGCGGACGACGGUGGCUGCGCGAUGGGGAGGCGGAGGCGGUACAGAUGCAAUGGAACUUUUGGCUGCUUGCUGCUCGUCACUUCUCCCUCAGGCUGCUGGAAUAGUGGAAGCUAUGGAGGAUCUACUCAGAUGUUGAUCGAAAUGGUGCUGGAUUUGGGAGCUGCUGUUCUCAAUUGCCGUGAGUCAGACCAUGAGUUUGUUGUCACAGUCAACAUCUUCCUAGCGUUGAGAGGGCUAUUGUGGUUCCUCAGCCAUGGCAAUGUAUUUCUUGUCAUGGUUUUUGUGAAGAAAAAAAAUCUUUUGACAAGUAUGCAGGCCAAUAAAACCAGAGUUUCUCUUUCUGUUGUUAUCAGUGGUGUGUGGCACAUGACAUAUUUAUGGCAACUUAACAUCGAUGCUGCGCCUUUGCAGAUGGUAGAGACCAGUUUCUCUGUGGACUAUUUGCAGAUGAUGGAGGAGCUGAUGAGUGAAAUCAAGGUCAUGGAUAUGGUAUGGAACUGCAAGUUUUUUGGAACACCGUUGUUGAUCAUGGACAUAACCAUACUGAGAACUGCUCAAGUAAUUGAUCAAGACCUUGGUUUUUGCUCCCCCGCCUGGUUAGGAUUCCGCAUUGGGUGCUUGCCAGGGAAUUUGAUUUUCACAUGCUUUUCUCGAGGUGCAUUUGUUGAUCCAAGGAAACACCAUGAGUUUGCUUAUCUGUAA